GAUGAACGCUGGCGGCGUGCCUAAUACAUGCAAGUCGAGCGAACGGACGAGAAGCUUGCUUCUCUGAUGUUAGCGGCGGACGGGUGAGUAACACGUGGAUAACCUACCUAUAAGACUGGGAUAACUUCGGGAAACCGGAGCUAAUACCGGAUAAUAUUUUGAACCGCAUGGUUCAAAAGCGAAAGACGGUCUUGCUGUCACUUAUAGAUGGAUCCGCGCUGCAUUAGCUAGUUGGCAAGGUAACGGCUUACCAAGGCAACGAUGCAUAGCCGACCUGAGGGGGUGAUCGGCCACACUGGAACUGAGACACGGUCCAGACUCCUACGGGAGGCAGCAGUAGGGAAUCUUCCGCAAUGGGCGAAAGCCUGACGGAGCAACGCCGCGUGAGUGAUGAAGGUCUUCGGAUCGUAAAACUCUGUUAUUAGGGAAGAGCAUAUGUGUAAGUAACUGUGCACAUCUUGACGGUACCUAAUCAGAAAGCCACGGCUAACUACGUG
rnacentral:rRNA from 1 species